CUGCAAGUCGUACGAGAAAUCCUGGGCAACUGGGAAAGUAAAGUGGCGUACGGGUGAGUAACACGUGGGUAACCUACCCUUGAAUUUGGGAUAACUCCGCGAAAGCGGGGCUAAUACCGAAUAAUAUUCUGACUCCCAAGGGGGUUGGAAUCAAAGGUGGCCUCUGCAUGCAAGCUAUCGUUUAAGGAUGGGCCCGCGUACCAUUAGCUGGUUGGUAGGGUAACGGCCUACCAAGGCAACGAUGGUUAGCUGGUCUGAGAGGAUGGCCAGCCACACUGGAACUGAGACACGGUCCAGACUCCUACGGGAGGCAGCAGUGGGGAAUCUUGCGCAAUGGGGGAAACCUUGACGCAGCAACGCCGCGUGGGUGAUGAAGGCCUUCGGGUCGUAAAGCCCUGUCAGAGGAGAAGAAAUCCCGAGUAAUCGGGU
rnacentral:rRNA from 1 species